rnacentral:lncRNA from 1 species
CGGCACAUGCUGAAGGAGGUGGCAGAGGAUGCGCAGAGAGAGCUGAGGCUAGAACAACGCUGGAAGAAGGACCGGCACGAACGAGAACAGCGGGUGCUGUCCUCACAAAGACAGAAAUGCCAUGAACCAAAGCUAGCUGUACAAGGCAAUGGGCAGAGUGGUUACUUAACCAACAUUGGAAAUGCACUUUUCAAGGAAAGAAAGGGUAAGGCACAGAAUAAUCCAGAGGCUAAAUAAAAAAAAUUCUUCAUAUAUUUUUUAUAUAUAUACAUAAUUCAUGAACAAUAUUUUUUCUUUUAUCAAGCAGUGAGCCAGGAUAACUUAAUGAGGAGGGCAACUCUUAAAAAGGCAACUCUUAAAAAACUGGCCCCACUGCCAUUUGUAAAGAAGGUGAAUCCUAUGUAAAACUGUGCAAGAUGAUGUAAGAUGGACUCAUAUUCACAAUGUUAUCCAUGCAUUUCUCAAACUAACAUGUAUUUUUUAAACGUUAUUUAGGCUGUGUACCCUAAAACUAGUGUGACAGCAGUAAGAUCCAAAGACACUUCCAGACUCAAAUCCCGUGACAUUUCAAGUAAGUGCCUAGUUCUCAAUCACAAUUUUCCUGUAGCACUCACUGUUCAUCAAUUUAGAAUAUGAAUGUUUUUGUAUGUCUUUACCAUAUAGAGGGGAUUACAGACAGGUCUCUCUUUUGCAUGUCCUUUCAGAUAACAGAGAGAUUUCCAUCACCAUGUCGCCAAAAUCAGUUACACUGGAGACCAAUGUUUUGUCCAAACCUGGAGGCAAUUGUGGAGAUUCAAGUGCUAUCCUCACUGUUUCACAACUCAGGUUAAAUUUUGAAGGCCAACACUUACAAACCAGACACAAACUACUGUAUAUUCCAGCUAUGACCCACACAGGCACUUCAAUAGAGCUCUUUCCUCAAAAGUUACACUAGAUGAUGUUAUGUAGUUUUGUAUGCUUUUUGUUACCAUAACAGUAGAAAUGAUUGUUGUUUUAUUUUUCAGUGAACAGAAUCCGACUGAAGAUAAGCAGAAAAUAUGUAAUAUCAUGGAGGAACACCAUGAAGUAAUCAGAGAUAUCGUCACUAUUGCGAUAAAUGAUAUGACGAGUAUCAUUAUCCCUGCUUUGCAGCAGGUCAAACGUGAGCGUUCGCCAGUUAAACAGAGCUCCUCUAAGGACAUACCAACUGCUCAUAAUGACCACCUCAGCCAUAUUGAGGACACCAAACCAGACAAUGGUAUUUCACAGCAUUCCAGUAUUUCACUAGUUACAGGACAUCUGUCCUAUCUGUCCCCCACUUGUUUAUAUCUGAAGCUUGAGGAGCCAGACAGUAAUGAGACUGAAUCACUCUUGUGUGGCAAACUUUGUAUCCUAAACGCUGACCUGCUGAAUAAAGCGGAAAGUUUCAUCUGGAAAGCAAUACGUGAAGUGAUGGAAGAAAUAGAAACCACAGGGUCCUCCUCUGUCGACAGAGUUGAGUCUGAACCUCAGUGUAGUUCCGAUGAAUAUUGCCAUCAUUUGAAAUCAACAACAUCCAGCACACAUGAAGGAUUUUAUGACGGUGACAAAACACUCCAAUCCGAACAGUCUGUUUCACUGACAAACCCAAACAUACAGUGGGAUGCUGUAGCCUGUAGAGAGCAGAUGUUCAUGGAUCCAAGUGCCAAAAAAACACAACAUGGACAAGACAGUUGGAAUCAAGUGAAAAUCCAGUUCCCGGAGCCAAAGCUUUGCUCGAGUGAACACAGCUCCUCCUUCGACACAACACAGAGGAAUCUGAUCUAUUCACAGUUUGUGGAUGAUGUUCUGGCAAAAGUGUAUUCCUUUGUUGCUGAGGAAAGUGUUGAAGGUGUUUCACAGACAGAAACAAUCUGCUCAUCAUUUUCAUCAUCAUGUUCAUCCAGGAUGCACACCGAAUGCCUCCCACUUCAGGCAGACAAAUCCAACAGUACCCCUGUGUCAUGUGCUUCAACUAGAUGGGAACAUCAUGUAGAGAAGGCUCGAAGAAAUACUAGUGUCAGCCCAAAACUCCCUCUUGGGCGGUCCAUUAGACUGCUGGCUGCUGAGCCACUGACUCCAGAGGAGGAAGUGACUGUUGCUGAAACAGGUCUGUAUGCUGAUGAAAUGGUCAUGGAUAUUAUGAAUCAGAUCAAACAUGAAACAGAGGAACAGUCUGGAGAAAGUAAACACUCUGAGACACCAGACUCGUUCACUUGGUCUGAGGAAUCUGUAGUUAUGAAUCAGGGUGUUGAUGUUCCGCUGGUUGUAAAAUGGAAUCCUUUAAGGACACCGAAAUUCCAUAUAUAUCAUGAAGCAGUUGAGAUUUGUCAUCAAAUUUUCCUCAGUAUCAAAAGGCAGCUUGAUCAAGCAUGUUCCAACAGUGAGACUGAUGUUUCUAAAGCCAUGGAAAAAGCAAUUAUUUGUGAGUUUGUUGAUUUUGUCCAGGACAGGCUGAGCAACAUGUGUGGACCAAAUAAGUGUUCCAUUACUAAAAAUGCUGAAAUGAAGAGAAAUUUGUCAGAGCACUCUCUAGGGUGUGAGUCAUCUGAACCUGAAAAAUCACUGAAAGCGUCCGGGAUAAUGGAAAAGGUCAAGAUGCAGUUUGAAAAAGCAGCUCAACAGCCUGUUAAAGCUGUUCUUGAAAGUGCCCUUAGUGAUUUUUUCUGUUGGGAUGUCGAUCUCUCUAAAUGUGCUUCCACUGAAAAUCUGCGAUCAUGCCAGAAUCGCCCGAGAGCCAUGAGUAAAAACCAGACAGACCUGUCACACUUAGCCAGUGAUAUUAUCUUGAUUGUGUGGGAGAAGUUGAUUGAAACCUCUGGUUGUGAGAAAUCUUGUGACAGUGAAGCAAAACUGAAGAACUUAAUCAAAGCAAUAUCUGAAAUAUCAUCUCUCAACACUUGUGCUGCCCAUGCAAACACAACUGCAUUGGGAGCUGAACUUGUCCUGGAGGGAAUUAACCGUGCUGUUGAGACCAAGCUGAUGCAGUUUAUUACUCAACAGUCUGUGGAUGACCAAAGAGCAACGGACAAGACUCCCUUGGUCAAAAAGACAGCCCAAGUAUACAGAUCUUUAGAUGGCAUGAAUUGCUUCAGCAAUCCAGUGAACAGUCAUGGGCAAGAUGUUCAUGGUUGUGUGCCUUCCACACCCUCAGAAAGUGCAUUUAAACACAGCCACGAACACAAUCUUUUUCCCAAACAGACAUACACCGCUUCUCAGCCCUCAUGCAGUUCAAGUCCCUUUGUCAGCAGUUCAGAGCUUGACAACUUCCUUGGAACUCUUUCAAAAUCAGCCAUGUCUCUUUUGAAGGACACUUAUGGAGAACAAGUUACAAACCUGAAGAUAAAGAAGGACGUCAACACAUGUCUAGCAGAUCCUACUUUUGAGGGUUUGGUGAUACAGCCAGAUGCUAACGGAAGAGAUGUGAUUGUACAUUGUGUUGCUGUGGAAGAACUGUUUCCAUUAUGCCAGGCGAGGUCUCUAGAGAAUGAGAGGAACAAUGAAAGGUCAACGCACACUCAACCAACUACAAAGCCACCAGAAGUUAUUUGUCCAGGUUUUCCAGAACAGAUAAAUAUUGUGGACAAGGCAAGUGUAAGAAUUCAGGGUAGUCAGAUCAGUCAGCCCAAAAACCUAGCCAUAUCCUCUCCUGCAGCCACCACCACCCACCUUUUCAAACCCACCAUUGAGACAUUUGUGGCCAAAGUGAUAGACAAGUGCAUGCAGGGUUCAAAAUUGAUCACAAAACAGGGAGAACUGUCCUAUGAGAGACACAGGAUGAAGGGAGCCAUACAUGCUUCUGGAUCGCCCCAUAAAGUGCUUUCUGACAUGACUCGAUCUUUGAAAGACUGUCGACCACACAGCGCUGCAGCACACUCAAGAGGGGAAAAACAAACUUCCGGACCCAGGCCUAGCACUGCACUUAAUGUGUUGGACCUCCAUAGCCAAAGCAAAUUCAGGGAAUCUCGGACACAAACCAGUUCUGCAUCAAGAACACCCUUGCAUCACCAAGAUAUGUUUUGGAAAAACUUUCGAAAAGCUCAGUCAGCUGUGAGCCCUGUCACUGAUGGUUCUGGUAAAGGACUCAGUCCUGUGAAGGUCAAUCCUGUUAGACAACAGGGGAAUGGAGACAAAAGCCCUUUGCCAGCCCCAGGCACUGACAGGUCUAUCCCAAAGGCGUUAACAAAAACUAUCAAGGACAUUGUGGCUAAAUUGUUGGUCAACAUCUAUUCUGAUGGGCCUGAUACUCCUGGUGCUUCCAGUCCUAUCCUUGAUCCAACCACCUCAAAUCUUCUGGACCGUGUGCUUCUGCAGAUGGAGAGAUUUCAGUAUCAACUACUGGAUGAAGUGGGUGCUGAACAGCUUUUCUCCACAUACAUUGACAUACAGAAGGUUGCAAAUUCUGUCUAUCAAGACUUGCUCAGUUACAGUGGCAGCUGUGAAAAUUUGCAUCUUGCCAUUUCUGCAUGUGACGAUCACUUAGUGAAAAAGAUUGCAAGCUCACUGGCCCAAUCAUUGUCCAGGAGUAUCCAGAACACAGAUUACCUCAGGUAUGAUAACCUGAGCACAGCCUCCACUCGAUUGAGCUCCCUAGCGUCCACUACAUUGAGUACUCCAACAUCCUGGGUUACUGAGGAUGCAUGCACAAUUUCUGAGGACAUAACACUUAGAUCUGUAGACCUAAUAUCAAUUCGUUCCUUGGAGAUGGCAGAAGACCUGAUGGAUGCAGUUAUGGUUGAACUCUAUGCUGACCCUGCCAUGUUUGGCACCCCACAGCCAAAAGACCUGGACUGGCCCCAGCUUGCUCUGGCUGAACUGAAUCAAGCAGCAACAAUGGUCUACAAACAUAUGUUAGAACAAUGUGGCUCAGUGGAAAACCUCCAAAACGCUCUGAGAUCCAGGGAAAAGCAAGUGGUCACCACAAUGGCUGGUGCAAUCGCUUCUCAAACCUACAGGUUAAUCUCUAUGAAGGAAUCAAGUGGCACCCCUUUACUCGAUCAGACAUCUAAUCUCAAAGAAUUGUCAUCCAUAAGCAGUUAUCCACAGCUGUCUCCUGGUCAGUGUUUUAUCUUUUACCAGACAGUAUGGGAUAUCAUCUCAACACUUUUGCUGGAACUGUGUAAAAAAAAAAAACGUGGACAGCAUCUCACUCCAAAUCUUUUUCUAAAGUCUCUGAGCACACUGUCAGAGUGCCCUGGAGUAAAGAUAAGUAAUGAUAAGAAACAAUGUGACAUCUCCAGUGAUUCCAGUGCCAUUGAACGGAUUGUGCUUGGGGCACAACGAAGACUCAGUGAACAUCCUCACUACUGGAGUGCCCUGGAGUCUUUGUUGAUUGCCAAAGAUGAAGCAGCAGCUUGGAGAGUUGUGAUCACUGUUGUCGAAGAAAUAUUGAAAUUUGCAUCACAUCCAUUUGGUGUCAUCCCAGUUCCAGCCUCAAGUUUCUACCAUGAUGAAGCUGAAGGUGAGGCGACACAUGGUUCUGCUGAUGGCUCAAACAAGCAUGCUGAUCUCCACCAGGACUACUUAGAUGUAUGUAGUCUACGUGCUGGCUGGCCAGACAACCUUAGCCUUGAUAUGACUCCAGUGUCACCUGUUAGUGUAACCAGGGGCUCUAUCCAGUCAAGCGCAGUUGGCUCAAAGAAAGUGAUGUUCAGAUCUUCUACAAAAGUUGAUUACUACAGUAAAUCACAGGUUCCAUCCAAAAGAAGGUCUAAAAUGUCUGAUGAAGCAGAAUACCCAUCCAGUUGCUUGAGGGGCACUAGAGUGAUAAGUGUCAAAAUAAAAAAGGUAAGGAUGACAUUAUAUGGCCUUUUACAUAUUCAUAAUGAUUAUACGUAA